rnacentral:rRNA from 1 species
UACGGAGGGAGCAAGCGUUGUCCGGAAUCAUUGGGCGUAAAGCGCGCGUAGGUGGCCCCGUAAGUCCGCUGUGAAAGUCAAAGGCUCAACCUUUGAAAGCCGGUGGAUACUGUGGGACUAGAGUACGGAAGAGGCGAGUGGAAUUCCUGGUGUAGCGGUGGAAUGCGCAGAUAUCAGGAGGAACACCAAUAGCGAAGGCAGCUCGCUGGGACGUUACUGACACUGAGGCGCGAAAGCGUGGGGAGCGAACAGG